GCCGGGCAUGGGGGAGUGUGCCUGUAGUCCCAGCUACUUGGGAAGCUGAGGUGGGAGAAUCGCUUGAGCCCAGGAGGUUGGGGCUGCAGUGAGUUGAGAUCGUGAUACUGCACUCCAGCCUGGGUGACAAAGUGAGACCCUGUCUCAA
ensembl:misc_RNA Metazoa_SRP Metazoan signal recognition particle RNA